rnacentral:rRNA from 1 species
UACGGUAGGGGGCAAGCGUUGUCCGGAAUCAUUGGGCGUAAAGAGCGUGUAGGCGGUCCGGUAAGUCGGCUGUGAAAGUCCAGGGCUCAACCCUGGGAUGCCCGGUCGAUACUGUCGGGCUCGAGUACGGAAGAGGCGGAGUGGAAUUCCUGGUGUAGCGGUGAAAUGACGCAGAUAUCAGGAGGAACACCGGCGGCGAAGGCGGCGACCUGGUUCGAUACUGACGCUGAGGCGCGAAAGCGUGGGGAGCAAACAGG